rnacentral:rRNA from 1 species
GAUGAACGCUAGCGGCAGGCUUAACACAUGCAAGUCGAGGGGUAUAGUUCUUCGGAACUAGAGACCGGCGCACGGGUGCGUAACGCGUAUGCAAUCUACCUUUCACAGAGGGAUAGCCCAGAGAAAUUUGGAUUAAUACCUCAUAGUAUAAUUGAAUGGCAUCAUUUAAUUAUUAAAGUCACAACGGUGAAAGAUGAGCAUGCGUCCCAUUCGCUAGAUGGUAAGGUAACGGCUUACCAUGGCGACGAUUGGUAGGGGUCCUGAGAGGGAGAUCCCCCACACUGGUACUGAGACACGGACCAGACUCCUACGGGAGGCAGCAGUGAGGAAUAUUGGUCAAUGGGCGCAAGCCUGAACCAGCCAUGCCGCGUGCAGGAUGACGGUCCUAUGGAUUGUAAACUGCUUUGUACAGGAAGAAACACUGGUUCGUGAACCAGCUUGACGGUACUGUAAGAAUAAGGAUCGGCUAACUCCGUGCCAGCAGCCGGGGUAAUACGGGAGGAUCCAAGCGGUUAUCCGGAAUCAUUUGGGUUUAAAGGGGUCCGUAGGCGGUCAGAUAAGUCAGUGGUGAAAGCCCAUCGCUCAACGGUGGAACGGCCAUUGAUACUGUCUGACUUGAAUUAUUAGGAAGUAACUAGAAUAUGUAGUGUAGCGGUGAAAUGCUUAGAGAUUACAUGGAAUACCAAUUGCGAAGGCAGGUUACUACUAAUGGAUUGACGCUGAUGGACGAAAUCGUGGGUAGCGAACAGGAUUAGAUACCCUGGUAGUCCACGCCGUAAACGAUGGAUACUAGCUGUUGGGAGCAAUCUCAGUGGCUAAGCGAAAGUGAUAAGUAUCCCACCUGGGGAGUACGUUCGCAAGAAUGAAACUCAAAGGAAUUGACGGGGGCCCGCACAAGCGGUGGAGCAUGUGGUUUAAUUCCGAUGAUACGCGAGGAACCUUACCAAGGCUUAAAUGUAGAUUGACCGGUUUGGAAACAGGUCUUUGGCAAGACAAUUUACAAGGUGCUGCAUGGUUGUCGUCAGCUCGUGCCGUGAGGUGUCAGGUUAAGUCCUAUAACGAGCGCAACCCCUGUUGUUAGUUGCCAGCGAGUCAUGUCGGGAACUCUAACGAGACUGCCAGUGCAAACUGUGAGGAAGGUGGGGAUGACGUCAAAUCAUCACGGCCCUUACGCCUUGGGCUACACACGUGCUACAAUGGCCGGUACAGAGAGCAGCCACUGGGUGACCAGGAGCGAAUCUAUAAAACCGGUCACAGUUCGGAUCGGAGUCUGCAACUCGACUCCGUGAAGCUGGAAUCGCUAGUAAUCGGAUAUCAGCCAUGAUCCGGUGAAUACGUUCCCGGGCCUUGUACACACCGCCCGUCAAGCCAUGGAAGCUGGGGGUGCCUGAAGUCGGUGACCGCAAGGAGCUGCCUAGGGUAAAACUGGUAACUAGGGC